UGCAAGGUCGAGCGAGCGGAACCAACAGAUUUACUUCGGUAAUGACGUUGGGAAAGCGAGCGGCGGAUGGGUGAGUAACACGUGGGGAACCUGCCCCUAAGUCUGGGAUACCAUUUGGAAACAGGUGCUAAUACCGGAUAAUAAAGCAGAUCGCAUGAUCAGCUUUUGAAAGGCGGCGUAAGCUGUCGCUAAGGGAUGGCCCCGCGGUGCAUUAGCUAGUUGGUAAGGUAACGGCUUACCAAGGCGACGAUGCAUAGCCGAGUUGAGAGACUGAUCGGCCACAUUGGGACUGAGACACGGCCCAAACUCCUACGGGAGGCAGCAGUAGGGAAUCUUCCACAAUGGACGCAAGUCUGAUGGAGCAACGCCGCGUGAGUGAAGAAGGUUUUCGGAUCGUAAAGCUCUGUUGUUGGUGAAGAAGGAUAGAGGUAGUAACUGGCCUUUAUUUGACGGUAAUCAACCAGAAAGUCACGGCUAACUAC
rnacentral:rRNA from 1 species